AUAAGCUUAACUAUGGAUUCUGCACACAGAAAAGAGCAUAUGUCAGCAUCUGUUGCCACCCUUCCAGCCCUCUGGGUGCUGGACACCUAUUGUUAGCUCCCCUCACGUUAGGGCUGAGAGGGCCAUUGUAUUAUUACCCCAGUUCUGUGGAUAAAGAAACCAGGGUAUGAUCAUCGCAGAAAAUCCAGGAUUUCAGCCCAAGUCUGUCUGGCUCCAAGACACAUAUACAGUGCACUAUCUUCACUGAAAAUGUAGAAUUUGCCCGGCCCAGUGCAGACCUUGAGCCCUUUGUUCAAAACUUAUAAAAAAUUUCAACAUGGUGAUGGUAUGAAUUUUACAGCAUGCGAACCCGUGAGACUGCACAGCCCACAAAUCUAGCUGUGCCUAUGCGCCCUUCCUGACCCACACUGCUGCCCUACAAAGACCUUCGUCUCAUCAGCCUCACAAUGGGGACCCUGCAAGCAGCACUCUCAGCUCUGCAAAUGUCAGUCAGAGAGGAAUUUCAAGGUCCCUUUACGUCCAAUCCAUCCACAGCUCUAAAUAUUGUUCCCUGCAAGCACACAACUUAUACUUUUCUGCGGGUCAGGGCUCAGGAACUUUCCUCUCCAGCACUGGGCCCAGAUCCUAGGCCAGGACCAUGACAGCUCACGCUAUACACCAGCUCCUGCCUACUGUUGUGGUGGGAAUUUUGUCCUCAUUUCUGGAACCUAGGCAAUUGCAUAGUUUUAGAAAUGUGUUUUGUUAUAUUCUGUCCAGUGCUUCUAUGAGUAUGUAGCAGAAAGGAGAACCUUUUGCUUUAGCUCCCUCCUCCGUUGCCCAGGUGUCAACUGAACAUCUCCCGCACCUAACGUCUGAAUUGGUUUUAUCAGAAAGGGAGCCAUGAAUGUCUCAUCCAAAAAGCUAUGAGCUUUGACUCUCCACCUAAUCAUGAAAAUGCACUACAGAAACGACUUCAGCUUUCACAUCUCUCUGAGUUCCAGGCUGCCCAGACCAUAUGAGGGCAGUAAUUACGGGCAUUGAUUGGUUCAUCUUCAGAAGGCCCUGGGUGGGUGGAUGGCUUCGGCCCGCCAGCAGAAUUUUCAGGCCACCUGUGGCAGGAAAAUCAAUAAACAAGCAGGUGUUCUUUUUCCUUUAGUGUUAAAUCUGUGUAUUUGGUUGUAGGACCUACAAGAAAGGAUUUAAGAAUUUUCUCUUCUUUUCUCCUUAAAAUCUUUGGAGCUAAUCUCUCUCUACUAAACUUUUGGUUUUGUCUGAUAACUUUUCUCUAAUAAAACCAUCACCUGGC
rnacentral:lncRNA from 1 species